rnacentral:rRNA from 1 species
CCUACGUGCGGCAGCAGUGGGGAAUAUUGGACAAUGGUGGAAACCCUGAUCCAGCGACGCCGCGUGAGUGAAGAAGUAUUUCGGUACGUAAAGCUCUAUCAGCCGGGAAGAAAAUGACGGUACCUGACUACGAAUCCCCGGCUAACUACGUUCCAGCAGCCGCGGUAAUACGGAGGGGGCAAGCGUUAUCCGGAUUUACUGGGUGUAAAGGGAGCGUAGGCGGCAGCGCAAGUCUGGAGUGAAAUGCCGGGGCCCAACCCCGGAACUGCUCUGGACCCUGUGAAGCUGGAGUGCAGGAGAGGUAAGCGGAAUUCCUGGGGUAGCGGUGAAAUGCGUAGAUAGCAGGAGGAACACCGGCGGCGAAGGCGGCGUACUGGACUGUAACUGACGUUGAGGCUCGAAGGCGUGGGGAGCAAACAGGAUUAGAUACCCCUGUAGUC